rnacentral:lncRNA from 1 species
GUUGUUGUUAUUUCUUGGGCCGCUUCCGCGGCAUAUGGAGGUUCCCAGGCUAGGGUCCUAAAAAGCAAAAGAAAAAAAAAAAUCAGGGAUAUACAUGAUGAAAAUUAUGAUUAUUAGUUAAAUUAUGAUUAUUAGGACAUAAAAAGACUUGACUAAAUGUCUCUAGAAGAAAUGUUACAAACGUGUUAAUUUUGACCAAGUGAAUUUACAAGUCCAAUAUUAUUACAAUAUCCCCAAGUUUUUAGAUGAAGAGAAUUAAACAAAGUAAUUCUUAAGUUUAAGUUAAUACUGAAUUGGAGAACAGUAGUUAAGACAAUAUUGAGAAAGAAUAAACAAGAAGUUUUACUAUGAACAAGGAAAGAACAGACCAUGGGUCAGCAAACUACAGCCAGUAGGUCAAAUCUGGCUGCAGCCAGAUUUUGCAUUCACUGUCUAUGGUUGACUCCCUGAGUCAAUAGUUGCAACAAAGAUUGUGUGGCUCACCAACCUAAUAUAUUUGCUAUCAGGAAUUUUACAGAAAACAUCUGCCAACCUUUGCAACACAUACUUUAAUUAAUUGUGCUGUCAUGUCCAUAGAUUUUUCUCUAAGGGAGCUCAUGAAGGCCAAGAGAAGGCAAAUUUACAAGGUAAUACAAUCCAUGGGUACCACAAGCAAGCAGAAGCUGGAAGGUAGAGAAAUAAAGGUUAGGGAAGCCAGUUAAUAGCAAAAGAAGCAUGAACAAUGGUAAGGAGAUUUAAAAAUACUGAUGCCCGGGCCACUUAAAUCACAAUAUCUCACCUGGUUUAUUUUUAAAGUUCCUCAGGUGAUUCUAAUGUUUAACUCUGAUAGAGAACCACUGAGUUAGAAAGAACAGCAAAUUCAGAGUGGCUGGGUGAUGUCAGUGAUGUAGCACAAGAGUAAUGAACCAAAAAUACCUGCUGUUAAGGUGCCCAGAGCUGCUAGAAUCCAAUUCCCGUACUCAAUACUGUUCCCACAUAUCAAUUCCCAUUAAAGCCCCAUCUUCCACAUUGUUCAACGUGUUUACAUACAAUAAACCCCUAUUAAUGAGGUAGGCUGAUUAACUUCUUUUCUUGAGACCAAAAGAGCCAACUUCAUAUAGAAAUUUCUAUCAGAAAUAUAGUUGCAUGAAAAAAACGCCCAGCAGAAAUGUAAAACACUUGGAAUUGAUAGGGUAUGACUAUAGAAUAAAAAAAUCAUACACAAUCUACCCCAUGUACCAGAGCGAAAUCUUUUUCAGAAGCCCAGUUUAUGUUGUAGCAAAGCCACUAAUUAUACAGCUGCCUUUGUGAUUCAUACCUGCACCCACUUAGGGUUAAGCACUGAGGCAAAUGGUAGUGACUGAUUACAGCAACUACAAAGAAAUAAGCCAAGCGGGGUUCAACAGUUGUUUCUCUUCUGACGAUGACAUGCAAAUUCUGAUAUAAUCACAAGGUAUCGACCCUGGAAAGCAUGACUUUGUCUCUGUUACAGCUAGAUAUGGUGCUGUUACCAUUCCAACAGGCAUGGAAUAACAUGGAUUAGACCAUAGGUUCCCAAGUUUGAGAACCAUUGGGCUAAAUGUGUCAGUUCAGGUUCCUACAAAUACAUAUUCACUCCCCUCUGAAGACCACCAUUCUAUCUAUUGUCACAGCUGUAGCACAGCCCUUAAUGACCAGCUUUUGUUUUACAUUAUCUAUUAUUACAUCCUCUCCACUGAGCACAGUUGAUGGGACAUACAUUGCCAGGAGCCUAUGACAUGUCUCAGCAUGAAAAAGCACUGCACAGAUAAACUAGGCCAAUUAAGAUUCUCAUUCUUUGGAAUUUGAGUAGAAACAAUGAAAACUAGGUCAUUAGCAGUGAAUGCUGAAGCUGAAAGCCUCGUCAAAGUAGGGCUUAGUGGCAAAUCCAGUCAUGAGGAAGAAAAAAUGAAGAUGGAAGAAUAGCUGAUCAAAUAGCUGGUCUCAUUCAAGUCAACAGAAAAGGUCUACAAAUCCCAAGUGAUUAAGAUUCCUAUGAAAUCCCUAUCUUCUUUACUCUGUCUUACUAUAUGAACCUAUAUGAUAAAUAUCCAUUUCUUUAGCUAACCCUGUGUCUUAUUUCUUGAAACCAGAAAUCCUAUGUAAUCAGAAAAUAGUGUAGAGUUGGGUUACAUAAACAGAACUUUGGUAGGACAUGGAAUAUUUAAACCUGUUUAUUACUUGGUGGUGGGACAGUAACAGACACACCCCACCACAACCCAGGCUAGAAUGUUAAGGGUCUACAGGAACUGUGGCAAAGUUACUAUUGCAAGACUACACAUCUCAUGAAGGUAAGUUUUGGUACAAUCACAACAGAGGAAAUUCAGUCACCAAGGAAGAUCAAAGAUAGGUGGAUGCUUCCAAAUUUGGCAGGCAAAUUUCUAAAGUGGCCUCAUGACAUCACUUCAGACUACAGUAUCUGGCUGUGACCUGGUUACUCUCUAACAUUUCUGCUUAAGAGCUGCUGGAAAAGUAUAAACAGAAGCAUCUUUAGAAAUGAAAAAAAUGAGAUGAAAGGUAUAUGUGCUCUGUGGUCAAGAUGUGGAAAUGCAAUACAAACACAUGUGAAUCAAGUGGUGGCUACACUCAAGUCCCAUCUAAGUUCAACUGUCCCACUCAGUUCUCGAGACAGGCAGUCCUAGUCCUAGAGUAAUGAAUUUUAGAAUAUGACCUGUCCUGUCAUCCCAAGCAGAAUGUACCAGAUAUGAGACACAGUACCCAAGUGUUAUGCCACUGUAAGACUCAAAAACUGACUACUCAAGCAAAGGUAAGCGAAGCCACUUAAACCCUUGCAUUGAAAAAUAAAGUUUGUGAAAUGCAGAAAGAGUGAGGCCCAUAGCAGAGGAAACAAUAUUCAAUAACAGUGCUGGGAAACAUGAGAUACAGCCAAAGACACUAGAGUAGUAAGCAAGGCUUAGUAAUGAAUAACUGAAAACUUAUGAGGAAGCAUAAUACAACAAAGCUAGGGAGUAAGCUAAAGCUUGAGUAUAUAAUGAGGAGGAAGGCAUGAAGGCAGAGAAAAAGAGGAAUUAAGCAUAAGGAUCACAGUUAAUAACACUGUAGUAAUACUGAAAAUUCAUUCAGAGUAGAUUUCAGGUACUCUCAAUCACGAAAGAAAAAUACGGUAACUAUGUAAGAAGUUAAUUAGUUUGGCGCUUGAUUAUAGUAAUCAUUUCACUAGGUAUAUCAAAGCAUCAGGUUGUAAACCUGAAAUACGUAGAAUUUUCAUUUAAAAAAAAAAGAUGUUAAAGGUGGCAUACUAGAUGAAUCAUAUAAACCCCUGUUGCUUGGAUCUAUCUUGGAACCAUCUCCAAAUCACAAACCAACUCUCCUCAGAGA